rnacentral:rRNA from 1 species
AGCUGCUGCCGGUGGACCAUUAAACUCUUGUUAUUUUAUGUAAUCUGAGCGUCUUAUUUUAAUAAGUCAAAACUUUCAACAACGGAUCUCUUGGUUCUGGCAUCGAUGAAGAACGCAGCGAAAUGCGAUAAGUAAUGUGAAUUGCAGAAUUCAGUGAAUCAUCGAAUCUUUGAACGCACAUUGCGCCCAUUAGUAUUCUAGUGGGCAUGCCUGUUCGAGCGUCAUUUCAACCCUUAAGCCUAGCUUAGUGUUGGGAAUCUACUUCUUUAUAGUUGUAGUUCCUGAAAUACAACGGCGGAUUUGUAGUAUCCUCUGAGCGUAGUAAUUUUUUUCUCGCUUUUGUUAGGUGCUAUAACUCCCAGCCGCUAAACCCCCAAUUUUUUGUGGUUGACCUCGGAUCAGGUAGGAAUACCCGCUGAACUUAAGCAUAUCAAUAAGCG